rnacentral:misc_RNA from 1 species
UGGUUCUAGCAUCGAUGAAGAACGUAACGAAAUGCGAUAAGUAAUGCGAAUUGCAGAAUUUCCGUGAGUCAUCGAAUCUUUGAACGCACAUUGCGCCCUUUGGCAUUCCGAAGGGCAUGCCUGUCCGAGCGUCAUUAUCCUCCCUCAAACCCCCGGGUUUGGUGUUGGACCGUGUUGGUCUACCCCGGCCAACUGGUCUCAAAGACAAUGACGGCGUCCCAGGGACCCUCUUCGCACUGAGCUUUCCGGAGCACGCGAAGAGUUUCAAGGGCCCCAGGACCCGGUCGCCCCUUAAAAUGAAAUUUUUUCAGGUUGACCUCGGAUCAGGUAGGAAUACCCGCUGA